UAGAGGUUUUGCUCUUUUAAAAUUUUCCAGCAGGAGUCCUAUAAGAGGACUCCCUC
ensembl:snRNA U7 U7 small nuclear RNA